rnacentral:rRNA from 1 species
UACGGAGGGUGCAAGCGUUAUCCGGAUUCACUGGGUUUAAAGGGUGCGUAGGCGGAUUAGAAAGUCCGUUGUGAAAUCUCUGAGCUUAACUCGGAAAUUGCGGUGGAUACUAUUAGUCUUGAAUACUGUGGAGGUUAGCGGAAUAUGUCAUGUAGCGGUGAAAUGCAUAGAUAUGACAUAGAACACCAAUUGCGAAGGCAGCCCGCUACACGGUUAUUGACACUGAGGCACGAAAGCGUGGGGAUCAAACAGG